CAGUCGCCGCGGGAAUACAGAGGGUGCGAGCGUUAAUCGGAUUUACUGGGCGUAAAGCGUGCGUAGGCGGCUUUUUAAGUCGGAUGUGAAAUCCCUGAGCUUAACUUAGGAAUUGCAUUCGAUACUGGGAAGCUAGAGUAUGGGAGAGGAUGGUAGAAUUCCAGGUGUAGCGGUGAAAUGCGUAGAGAUCUGGAGGAAUACCGAUGGCGAAGGCAGCCAUCUGGCCUAAUACUGACGCUGAGGUACGAAAGCAUGGGGAGCAAACAGGAUUAGAUACCCCCGUAGUCCCUGUCUCUUAUAU
rnacentral:rRNA from 1 species